GCGGUAUUAGUUUAGUGGUAAAACGCCUCGUUGCCAACGAGGAGCCGAGGGUCCGAUUCCCUCAUACCGCA
rnacentral:tRNA from 1 species